CAGACAAACCCAGACAACCCUUCCUACUUCCCCGUCAUCUCCUUCGCUUCUCCUGUCUGAAACCCUCGCCCCAGACCACAAAUGGAAACCAUGCCAAUUCUUUCACCCAAACACCAAAUCAAACCUACGCUUGAAGCAAAGUUGACUAAAAUUCACCGAGAUUCGUUCAUUUCUACCGAUUAAAACCACUACACAGAUGAAUCCAAGGCUUCGACAACAAACAGUUCGCGGUAGAAAUAGAGUACGUCUUCAAUCGUAGAUUAUGAAAGAUACCACCCCUCAGAUAAAUUGACAGGAUAUGUAUUUGCAAAAAACGCACAAGGAUUUCGAAUCCAAAAAGAAAAACACAACAACGAAA